ensembl:lncRNA
CACAGCGUCCGGGCACCAAGACCAGGGCUGUGAGGGUCCCUGCGUGGUCCUCCCAGCAAGAGGAGGGAAGGGUCCCUUGGUCAGUGCAGGCAGGGAAGGCCCCUGGGGGAGGUGGACCGCGAUCGGCCCCAGCGGAGGUGGAGGAGGGCUUGGAGGUGGGAGGAGGGGCCCAAGGGCCCUGAGAGGCAAGUGGGAACAGGGGUGUGUAGGGCUACAGACAGCAUUCCAACAGUGAGGAGGGGGGGCCCGUAGGGCGGAAGGGGGAGUCACAGCCACACGGAUGAGGCUGGAAGAGAGGAAGGGCAUCCUAGGAGGACAUCCCCUCCGCUGGGGAAAGACGCCCCAAGGAGCUGAAAGGCCACCAAGCACCCCAGCCGGCCGGAGUAGUCCCCGAGGGUUCCCGGGCAGGCAGGGCUGCUGUCAGCCCCUCAGUCACUCCCCAGGGCCCACGGUGACAGUGAAUGAGGGGGUUUCUACAAUGAGGGCAGCCCAGGGGUCCUAGACCCCCGCCCCCCCCGCCCCCCGCUCUGGGCUCCAUGUCCAUCCUCACCCACCCACCUCACUCUGGCGGACGUGCAUGCCCCCACUCGAGAGGAGGACUGACUCCCCUGUGGAGACUCCAGAAGUACCACAAGAUCCAUGUCAGCACUGGAGAGGAAUCCUCAGGUUCCGGCCCCGACUCCACACAAGGCUGGGGGCGGGAUGGAGAUCGGAGAGGCCAGCACACGAAGUCACGGGACAUCUGGGGCCAAUCACAGGAGCAUCGUUAACGCAAGCACAGCCACACCCCACGCUCCUAAAGGCUGCGCCAGCCACUGUCCCUGCUCCCGGCUUCUGGGGGAGGGGGCCUCCUGCUCUGGACCCCGAGCUGACCCCAAGCCAGCCCCGGUGCCCCGUCCACUCAGGCGGAGCUCACGUCCCUCUUUCCUCCUCACUGGCCCUGGGCCAGCCCAGCUCUUUCCCUAGGAAGGCAUCCUCCCAGCCUCCAAGGUCACCUGAGGCCACACUGGACCCCAUGGAUGGGCUGUCCCCGCCCCGCCCCCCGCCCAGGGUUCUGGGUCACCCAUGGCCCGAGCGCCCUCUGGCCUCCUCGGCCCCUGCCACUCCAGCAGCUGCUCACCUGUCCCCCCGUCCUGUAAAGGGGGGGACCCCCAGGCCCUUCUGCCCCAUAACUGCUCCUGGUUCUCAGGGGCUGGGCACCCGACAUGGGAUGAACUGGGACAGGCUGGAGGCUUGGACGGGUGCCAGCCCCUGGCCAUCGAGGGCAGCACGCACGGACUGGGAGCUGGGAGCCUUGCCAGUGCCCGCCGGGCCUCCCCGAGCUUGACUGUGAGGCAGUGGUCCUGGCAAUGCCCACCCCCAGCCAGCUCCGCCACUGCUUCAGGAACAGGGGCCCGGGUGCGGUGCCACCCGCGUCCCUGAGUCUGCGCCCUCUUCCGACAUCUUGCCCUCGAGACGGCCCCGUCGUCACCCUGCGCUUGUGGCUGUGGGGCCUGCAGGUGUGGACUGUCCUGGGUUGUGGGCCCGGGUCCAAGGCGUGCACAGGGCCCUCACAGGGAAGAGGCCGGGGCAGGUGGAGAGCCGGGGCCUGGUGCCCCGAGGCUGGUUGUGCUGGGGGAGGCCUGGCCUUCACCCAGGGGUGUCUGCGGCCUCUCGCAGCUGCCGAGGCCCCAAACCCUCUCCCCUGGAGCCUCUGGAAGGAGCCGGCCCUGUCCACAACCCUGACCUCAGCCUGCUGAGACCUGAGUCAGACCUCUGACCUCCAGAUCAGGAGGGUCUCUCCAAGCCCAUCCCAUGCCUAUCUUGGGGAAUCCGCCUGCGUCACUGCUAGAGGACAGCAGAAGCCUCUACCCACCCCGCGGGAGUGGGACUCAGAUUUCCAGCUCAGAGGCCCUCAUUGACAGCAGCAAACAAGUGUUUGCUUUGGUGAUCCACGCUGUUGGAUGCUCAGCAUUGCUUUAAUUAAGCCUUGUGAUGGAUGAGUCUCAAUAAAGCAGCUGUUUAGAGUAUUCAGGUGGAGAGCCGAGGGUGCCCCCGGGACAGCCUGCCCUGGGGGGACCGGGAAGCCCUGUCCAGAGCCAGCUGUGGUCACCGCUGCCAGGUCAAGUCCAAGGGCCCCCACUAGCUUCGCCAGACGUUUGGACUCCAGCCAGACUGGACCAGCGGACGAACGGGCACCAAGGCCCCUGGAGGAACUCCGGGGUCACGGGACACCUUUGUAGCAGCGGCCGUGAGAGGCCGGGGUGUCGACGGAGGAGAGGAAGGUUUGGGGUCAGCCCGCUCCAGAGUUUCAGGCUUGGCGGAGCUUCACCAGAGCCGGUGCCCGCUCACGUCAAAGGGCCUUUGAGGGCGCGCACACGCGGGCGAUGUCACGUGAGGAUGUGAUGCCUGGAGCUGUGGCAGCCAGUUUACGUCCAUGAGGCGACAAGCCAAAGGAUGAAUAGUCAACAUUCAAGGAUGGUUGAGGGAGAGGAGAGGAGCCCAAGUCCUUGAUCACAUCAUUUCCUCCUCAGUGCCUGUGACAGCUGCCUCCAGACUUCUUGUUCAGGAGCAUAUUCCUGAAAAUGAAAAUGUUAGUCACUCAGUUGUGUCCAACACUUUGUGACCCUGGACUGUAGCUCGCCAGGUUCCUCUGUCCACACAAGAGUACUAGAGUGUGCUUCCAUGACCUCCUCCAGGGGAUCUGCCCCACCCAGUGAUCGAACCUGGGUCUCUGGCAUUGCAGGCGGAUGCUUUAGUAUCUGAGGCACCGAGGAAGCCCUGCUGCUGCUGCUGAGUCGCUUCAGUCGUGUCCGACCCUCUGUGACCCCAUAGAGGGCAGCCCACCAGGCUCCCCCAUCCCUGGGCUUCUCCAGGCAAGAACACUGGAGUGGGGUGCCAUUUCCUUCUCCAGUGCGUGACAGUGAAAAGUGAAAGUGAGGUUGCUCAGUCAUGUCCAACUCUGUGCGACCCCAUGGACUGCAGCCCACCAGGCUCCCCCGUCCCUGGGCUUCUCCAGGCAAGAACACUGGAGUGGGUUGCCAUUUCCUUCUCCAAUGCAAGAAAGUGAAAAGUGAAAGUGAAGUUGCUCAGUCGUGUCCGACCCUCAGCGACCCCAUGGACUGCAGCCCACCAGGCUCCUCCGUCCAUGGGAUUUUCCAGGGGCUAAAAAAGUUACCACUAAAUUGAUGGCUUAAAACAGCAGAAACGUAUUAUCUUAGAAGUCUGGACAUUGGAAAACCCAUCUGAAAUGGGUUUCAUUAGGUUGAACUCAAGUGUUGGCAAGGCUGUGCUCCCUCCCGAGGCUCUCGGGGAUAAUCCGUUCUCUGUUUUUCCCACCUUCCCACGGUGUUUCUCCCGUCCCACCUUCACGGCCUGGCUCCCAGCAGCAUCACUCCCACCUCGGCCUCUGUGGUCGCCUCCCCUCCCCCUUCGUCCUCUCAUCAGCUCUCCUCUCCUCCCACUUGUAAGGAGACGCA